rnacentral:rRNA from 1 species
AUUGAACGCUGGCGGCAUGCUUUACACAUGCAAGUCGAACGGCAGCGCGGGCUUCGGCCUGGCGGCGAGUGGCGAACGGGUGAGUAAUGCAUCGGAACGUGCCCAGUAGUGGGGGAUAGCCCGGCGAAAGCCGGAUUAAUACCGCAUACGACCUGAGGGUGAAAGCGGGGGACCGAAAGGCCUCGCGCUAUUGGAGCGGCCGAUGUCGGAUUAGCUAGUUGGUGGGGUAAAGGCUUACCAAGGCGACGAUCCGUAGCUGGUCUGAGAGGACGACCAGCCACACUGAGACUGAGACACGGCCCAGACUCCUACGGGAGGCAGCAGUGGGGAAUUUUGGACAAUGGGGGCAACCCUGAUCCAGCCAUGCCGCGUGCGGGAAGAAGGCCUUCGGGUUGUAAACCGCUUUUGUUCGGGAAGAAAUCCUCUGGGCUAAUACCCCGGGGGGAUGACGGUACCGGAAGAAUAAGCACCGGCUAACUACGUG